UUCAACGGAGAAUAUUUCUUUGGUUUUUUUGUGUGUGUCUGUGUGCUGUCAUACUUUUAGUGCCAGCAGAAAGCUGCAUCCCCUCAAAAUGAAAAGAAUACCCCUUUUCACGGGUGGAUGAAGAAAGAAAUAUGAACGCAAGUCUGGCAAGAAAUGUGGCUGUCCCAGCUUGGGGGCAGAGCUGUGGCAUGGACUGCUGCUGCUCACAUAUCAGAACUAUCCAUGGCACAAAAAGCAGGAGCAUGAGCUAUCUGAUUUUAUGUGAAAUUCCUUUAGAUCCCAAUUUCUAAAAGCGCAAUCGGAUCGCUUGGUGCUGCAGAGUUUAAAGUAGGUGUGAAUGUGAAGGUUCCUUGGAGAAGGAAAGACACCUCAGUUGAACAGAACACAGGAAAACACCGAAAGGAGAAUUGAAGCAAAUGUCUUACUUGGUAAUAAUAGCGAUGAACUACAUUUAAAAACAUUUUUAAUUAUUAUUUGCAGGCUGGAAGCAUUUAACCUAUUACUGUUUAUAGAAGGAAGUUUUCAUAUUCUGUGGCAGAAUUUAAAUUAAAAUCCUCGCUAUGGUGUCAUUCUGAUAAUAAUUUAAUUCUGGGACUGUUGCCAUCGUGUAUUUAUAACACAGUAUAUUAACAAAGUGGAGGGAACAACCCUGCUUGUUCUUUUACACUGAAUAUUUUCAUGGUUUGACUUUAGAUAUUCCCCUGCUAAGAAAACUGCUGUUGUUUACAUAAUGCUGAACUUGGGUUACCCUGCAGGGAGUUCAUGACAUACAAGCCAAAUGUUUUAAUAAUUGUAACAACUAAAUUUGAUGGUGUUUAAUAUUCUUGCAUUCAUAAUGAAGCUUUGUUGACUGUUUAGUCUGUUAAUUCUUAUGUAAAAUGUUGCCUGCUGCGGUGGAACAAAAUACGCCUUCUUCCUUUGUAUUAAGAUCAAUGAAAAACAGCAUUUGAGGACAAUCUACAUCAGACCUAUUAUCAGUACUCUACAAAUUUGUAAAAUAUAAGAUGAUGUAUCUGUUAUUUUGGUGCUGUGUAGAACCAGCAAGUUAAUCUCUAAGUACAACAUUUAAACAGUACGUACAAGAAAAGCAUUGAGAGGUUUUCAUUUGCAUACCUUUAGAGUCUGUUGAAAUUAAGGAACUGGCAACUACUGAAAUUCAGAAACUGGCAUUUUAUUUUAUUUAUUCUCUUUAUAUUUCUAUAUAUGUAUUAUUUUUUCUCUAUGUGUAUUUACUAUAUUUCAUUCUAUAACAUCUAAUUGCUGAAAUCCUAUCUUCUGCAUUACAUCAGUGAGCAGCUACAGCAGUACUUUGGGUUUUGGUGUUGUUUUGUUGUUCGUUUUUUUAUUAUGACAGCAGAUGAAUUGGUAAAUUGGUUAUCUAACAGCUGUUUUACAUUU
rnacentral:lncRNA from 7 species